UUGCGAUAUGCAACUAAGAUUGAGAGCCACUGACCGAGAGGGUUUCCAUCAGACCUGGUAGAGCCCAUUGAUGUUGGAGGAUCUUGAUAAUAAAAGAGAUAUGAUGUCAUUCCCCAAGUCUGGACAAGGAAUAUUUUGGAGAGGGAAGAUAAAUCGUUGAAUUUGGAGGAAAAAAAUGAUGUCUUUGGCUCAUCCACGUGACAAUGUUAAGUAGAAUUAGAUGUAGAAAUUAGUGCUCUGAAGAGAGAAUUUGGUACUAGAUAUAAAUUUAGGAGAUAUGGUGACUCUAUUUCAGCUAACAGCAUAGGAAUAAAGCAUAUUACCUCUGGAGAAGUGAAAAAAAGGAAUAAAGAAAUAAAACAUAAAGGAAAAAAUUAAAGGUAGACAAUUAAAAGAAAACAUGUUAGAAUCCUGGAAAACACCAAUAUUUAAAGAAAAAUGAAAAUGAUCCCACAAAAAAAAAGACAGGAAACAGAGAAAAACAGAGAGAAUGAAUGAAUGAAUGAAUGAAUGCAUAAAUUAAGGUAAUUUUAUGGAAGCCAG
rnacentral:lncRNA from 1 species